rnacentral:rRNA from 1 species
AGCGAACGCUGGCGGCAGGCCUAACACAUGCAAGUCGAACGAAGUCUUCGGACUUAGUGGCGGACGGGUGAGUAACACGUGGGAACGUACCUUUUGGUUCGGAACAACUCAGGGAAACUUGAGCUAAUACCGGAUGAGCCCUUAGGGGGAAAGAUUUAUCGCCGAAAGAGCGGCCCGCGUUAGAUUAGCUAGUUGGGGAGGGAAAGGCUCACCAAGGCUACGAUCUAUAGCUGGUCUGAGAGGAUGAUCAGCCACACUGGGACUGAGACACGGCCCAGACUCCUACGGGAGGCAGCAGUGGGGAAUCUUGCGCAAUGGGCGAAAGCCUGACGCAGCCAUGCCGCGUGAAUGAUGAAGGUCUUAGGAUUGUAAAAUUCUUUUACCAGGGACGAUAAUGACGGUACCUGGAGAAAAAGCCCCGGCUAGCUUCGUGCCAGCAGCCGCGGUAACAC